GGAACCACUGGGUUAGAGUAUAUGAAGAGCUGUUAGUGGCCAUUUAGAUAAUCUUAGGUUUAGAGAGACCUGUGUUAAUUUAUUGUCAUCACAUAGCCUAAGUGAACAGUGGAAUGUGAAAGGCAGUUUAUUAAUAAUCACCUUAAAAGGUGUGGAACCGAAGUCUUGUCUCCUCUCUUUUAUUUGGAUCUCUCUGCCUGUGUGUACAUGCUCCCUCUUCAUCUCGACUUGGUUGUGGAGAGGUGGUAUGUGUGUUUCUUCCGUGAGUUUUUAUAUGCUGGCACCUUCAUUUCCCUCUAACUGCUCCACCUUCCUUUUCCCCCCUUCCUCUGCGUACUUCUCUCUUCUUUUUUUAUGUGUCUUCCUCCCCAUGUCUGUGUGUAUGAGAGAGAGAAAGAUAAUGGCAGAGCUGGAAUGGAAUACAUCAAUCAUCUAAUUCCCUCAGUUUAUAGAUUUGGAAAUUAAGGCCCAAGAAUUCAGGUGACUUGACCAAAUUCACAUGACUAAAAAGUGGCAGAGCAAGGAACAGAAGCCACUACUUUUUCCACUUUACUACUCUGUCCUGUUAUCUGCACAUUUGUGUGUGUGUAUAUGUGUGGAUAUGUGUCUACCCCCUCCUCUGUAAUAUGAAAUACAAAUAGAGGGUUUUUUUGCUAUGUGUAGAAUAAAACUGUUCUCUAUUGUGUUUGAA
rnacentral:lncRNA from 10 species